rnacentral:rRNA from 1 species
CACUGUGGAAUUCGCCCUUAGAGUUUGAUCCUGGCUCAGAACGAACGCUGGCGGCGUGCCUAACACAUGCAAGUCGAACGGAAUUAAGGGGCUUGCUCCUUAAUUUAGUGGCGCACGGGUGAGUAACGCGUAGAUAAUCUGCCUGAUGAUCUGGGAUAACACUUCGAAAGGGGUGCUAAUACCGGAUAAGCCCACGGAGUCUUUGGAUUCUGCGGGAAAAGGGGGGGACCUUCGGGCCUUCUGUCAUCAGAUGAGUCUGCGUACCAUUAGCUAGUUGGUGGUGUAAUGGACCACCAAGGCUACGAUGGUUAGCUGGUCUGAGAGGAUGAUCAGCCACACUGGAACUGAGAUACGGUCCAGACUCCUACGGGAGGCAGCAGUGGGGAAUUUUGCGCAAUGGGGGAAACCCUGACGCAGCAACGCCGCGUGAGUGAUGAAGGCCUUCGGGUCGUAAAGCUCUGUCAGAGGGAAAGAAGUGUAUUAUGGCUAAUAUCCAUGAUACUUGACGGUACCCUCAAAGGAAGCACCGGCUAAC